rnacentral:rRNA from 1 species
UACGGAGGGUGCAAGCGUUGCUCGGAAUUAUUGGGCGUAAAGGGCAGGUAGGUGGUCUCAUUUGUCUGGGGUGAAAUCCUUGAGCUUAACUCAAGAAGUGCCCCGGAAACGGUGAGACUCGAGUCCUAGAGAGGGUCGUGGAAUUCCCGGUGUAGCGGUGAAAUGCGUAGAGAUCGGGAGGAACACCAGCGGCGAAGGCGGCGACCUGGAUAGGUACUGACACUCAACUGCGAAAGCGUGGGGAGCAAACAGG